rnacentral:rRNA from 1 species
GAAGCAACGCGAAGAACCUUACCAGGUCUUGACAUCCUCUGACAACCCUAGAGAUAGGGCUUCCCCUUCGGGGGCAGAGUGACAGGUGGUGCAUGGUUGUCGUCAGCUCGUGUCGUGAGAUGUUGGGUUAAGUCCCGCAACGAGCGCAACCCUUGAUCUUAGUUGCCAGCAUUCAGUUGGGCACUCUAAGGUGACUGCCGGUGACAAACCGGAGGAAGGUGGGGAUGACGUCAAAUCAUCAUGCCCCUUAUGACCUGGGCUACACACGUGCUACAAUGGGCAGAACAAAGGGCAGCGAAGCCGCGAGGCUAAGCCAAUCCCACAAAUCUGUUCUCAGUUCGGAUCGCAGUCUGCAACUCGACUGCGUGAAGCUGGAAUCGCUAGUAAUCGCGGAUCAGCAUGCCGCGGUGAAUACGUUCCCGGGCCUUGUACACACCGCCCGUCACACCACGAGAGUUUGUAACACCCGAAGUCGGUGAGGUAACCUUUUGGAGCCAGCCGCCGAAGGUGGGACAGAUGAUUGGGGUGAAGUCGUAACAAGGU